rnacentral:rRNA from 1 species
GAGGAAUAUUGGUCAAUGGAUGGAAAUCUGAACCAGCCAAGUAGCGUGCAGGAUGACGGCCCUAUGGGUUGUAAACUGCUUUUAUGUGAGAAUAAAGUUAGGUAUGUAUACUUAUUUGCAUGUAUCACAUGAAUAAGGACCGGCUAAUUCCGUGCCAGCAGCCGCGGUAAUACGGAAGGUCCAGGCGUUAUCCGGAUUUAUUGGGUUUAAAGGGAGCGUAGGCGGAUUGUUAAGUCAGCGGUUAAAGGGUGUGGCUCAACCAUACAUUGCCGUUGAAACUGGCGAUCUUGAGUGCAGACAGGGAUGCCGGAAUUCGUGGUGUAGCGGUGAAAUGCUUAGAUAUCACGAAGAACUCCGAUCGCGAAGGCAGGUGUCCGGGCUGCAACUGACGCUGAGGCUCGAAAGUGUGGGUAUCAAACAGGAUUAGAUACCCUGGUAGUCCACACAGUAAACGAUGUAUACUCGCGGUUUGCGAUAGACAGUAAGCCGCCAAGCGAAAGCAUUAAGUAUACCACCUGGGGAGUACGCCGGCAACGGUG